AGUAACACGUGAGUAACCUGCCCUUGACUCUGGGAUAAGCCUGGGAAACCGGGUCUAAUACCGGAUACGACCUGUCACCGCAUGGUGGUGGGUGGAAAGAUUUUUUGGUUUUGGAUGGACUCGCGGCCUAUCAGCUUGUUGGUGAGGUAAUGGCUCACCAAGGCGACGACGGGUAGCCGGCCUGAGAGGGUGACCGGCCACACUGGGACUGAGACACGGCCCAGACUCCUACGGGAGGCAGCAGUGGGGAAUAUUGCACAAUGGGCGAAAGCCUGAUGCAGCGACGCCGCGUGAGGGAUGACGGCCUUCGGGUUGUAAACCUCUUUCAGCAGGGAAGAAGCGAAAGUGACGGUACCUGCAGAAGAAGCGCCGGCUAACUACGUGCCAGCAGCCGCGGUAAUACGUAGGGCGCAAGCGUUGU
rnacentral:rRNA from 1 species